AACAGAAGAAAGGUAUUGAUUUUGAUGAAAUUUUCUCACCUACUGUCAAAAUGACUUCUAUUCGAACAAUUUUGAGCUUAGCAGCUAGCCUAGAUCUUGAAGUGGGGUAUUGAUUUUGACGAAAUUUUCUCACAUGUUGUCAAAAUGACUUCUAUUCGAACAAUUUUGAGCUUAGUAGCAAGUUUAAAUCUUGAAGUGGAGCAGUUGGAUGUGAAAACUGCAUUUCUUCAUGGAGAUUUGAAAGAAGAGAUUUGUAUGGAGCAGCCAGAAGGAUUUGAAGUAGCUGGAAAGAAACACAUGGUGUGUAAAUUGAACAAGAG
rnacentral:lncRNA from 1 species